GGGCGAUUAGCUCAGUUGGCUAGAGCGCAUCCCUUACAAGGAUGAAGUCGGCGGUUCGAACCCGUCAUCGCCCACCA
rnacentral:tRNA from 1 species